CACACAUACAUAUACACAUAGCUCUUUGGACAAUUAGGGUAAAACUAGGUCACAGCUUUAAUUUCAGAAAUUCCCGCGAGUGGAAGGCUGACAGGAUAUUUGAGAGAUAAGAAUGAAAGGCGAUCCAACAAAGAGAAAAUACAAUGAGUCGCUUUAUUGGCUGCCCUGAAUGACCUCCUGCUUAACAUUAAAUAUAUUCUUAAGAACUGAAUACAAUUUAUUCAUCCGCGCGAACCAGAGCCAGACUGAAAUGGCUUUUAGGACUCCUACACCUGGAAAUAUUCUGUCUUUCGGUAAGACAUGGACAUCAAUGAGAUCAUGAAAAAAAUGGUGACAUUGAAGCAGUCAAAAUCUUCAUAACUGAGCAUCCAGAUGAACCAACAUUAUGAUGUGGUGGCUUUGAUGCUGGCCGAGGGUUCAGUGAAAUCAGAAUUGAAGAACAAUCAGAAAAUGACACUGUUGCUUGAAGCCGUUUCCAGGGGCCACCUCGCGAAAUGCUGUUGAUGGUGAAGGCAAUAACUGUUUGCACCUUGCUAUGAAAAGAGAUGUUUAAUUCCGAGGACAUAUUGACAAACGCAACAAUACUGGGCUUCGUAAAUUAAUGUCGAAAAUAAAGUCAAAAACGAAUGAGAAUGGGAAAUGAUCUGAAUUAGAGAUGAUGGAGUGCUGCACUGAGCUCAGCUUGAGCAAAGACGAAAGGUUCUCUGCCCUUGUGGUUACCAGAUAUCUCGCCAGCCAUUGGACCUCAUUAAAAACCCAAAUUUGAAAACAAAAUUACAAACAUUUUUACCGCCACAAUGAUUGUGGUGCAGAAAUAAAGCGGCCACAACAAAAGUUCAUCCCUGUGGACACCUUGUGACAUGUGAAGAAUGUUCAAACGUUCCACUGAAACGAUGUCUGAGGUGUUUAAAACCUGUAACAAGCAGAAGUCGAGUUGGUAUUUUUUUAGGAAUUCCAGCAAUUGACCAGGAUAUUAUCAAGAACGUUUUCCCUUGUGACACAGUAAAACAGAGUUAUCAAAUGCUUUGUGAGUGGUUUAUAAAUUGUAAACCAGGGGAACGUACAGUUGAGACCCUCAGAAGUGGCCUUAAAGAUGCUGAGUGCUUUGCUGCCCUUGUAUAUCUCUCAUUAGAUGAACGGUGAAUUUCUGUGUAAAUUCUGCUGUUAUUUACUCCCAGGUGAAUGCUGACCAAAGAGAGAGACCUUUGACCAAAGUAUAGAGAACCAAGAACCACAUUCUCCAAUGUGUCCUCCUUUACAAUGAUGAGGUGUGGAGUGCAGUGGAUUUAGCUACUAAUUCUAGCGGAUCUAUCUCUCACAUUAGAGAUACCCUUCACUGGUUUGGUUCCUUUGUUAGAAAUUAGCUUUUGAAAUAAAGAUAAACUUUGAAAUAUC